rnacentral:rRNA from 1 species
CUACGGGUCGCACCAGUGAGGAAUUUUGCGCAAUGGGGGUAACCCUGACGCAGCAACGCCGCGUGAGUGAUGAAGGCUUUCGGGUCGUAAAGCUCUGUCAAGUGGGAAGAAUAUACGAAAUGCUAAUACCAUUUUGUACUGACGGUACCACUGAAGGAAGCACCGGCUAACUCCGUGCCAGCAGCCGCGGUAAUACGGGGGGUGCAAGCGUUAUUCGGAAUUAUUGGGCGUAAAGAGCACGUAGGCGGCCGCUUAAGUCAGAUGUGAAAGCCCGGGGCUCAACCCCGGAAGUGCAUUUGAAACUAAGUGGCUUGAGUAUGGGAGAGGGAAGUGGAAUUCCUGGUGUAGAGGUGAAAUUCGUAGAUAUCAGGAGGAACACCGGUGGCGAAGGCGACUUCCUGGACCAAUACUGACGCUGAGGUGCGAAGGCGUGGGGAGCAAACAGGAUUAGAUACCCCCGUAGUC